rnacentral:rRNA from 1 species
UACGUAGGGUCCGAGCGUUGUCCGGAAUUACUGGGCGUAAAGAGCUCGUAGGUGGUUUGUCGCGUUGUUCGUGAAAACUCACAGCUCAACUGUGGGCGUGCGGGCGAUACGGGCAGACUGGAGUACUGCAGGGGAGACUGGAAUUCCUGGUGUAGCGGUGGAAUGCGCAGAUAUCAGGAGGAACACCGGUGGCGAAGGCGGGUCUCUGGGCAGUAACUGACGCCGAGGAGCGAAAGCGUGGGGAGCGAACAGG